UGUCCAGUCACAGUUCUGGAAAAUUCCCUGUGGUCCAGACUUGGAGAUUCCUUUUGACGUCAUAGCCUGACUCCUCCCUGGUCUCACGUGAUGCUUCUUCCACAGGAGGACAAGGAGGAAGCUACUCUCAGGCUGCAGGCGGCGACAGCGCCCAGAGUUCUGAUGUGUCUCUCAGCCCCUAAAGUGUGAGCCAGCUGCCUGGUGGGGGCUGAGUGAUGAAGGAUUUCUUCUCACCCGUACUUUGUGACUCUAAGAUCUUCUGGUUUCGUUUGCUGCAAAAGGCAUCUGAAUGUGUCUCUGUUCUUAUGAGAUAAUGUGAGAAGGUGGGGAGACUGGCCCAGCCCUGCCCACCAGGGCCCUCCCCACACUGACCUGUGUCUCUCCGUGAAGUAGCUUAGUCUGUGUCUACCCCGUCUUUGUGUUUUGCUCAAGAAUAGUAACUACUUCCUUCUGGAAAUAAUAAUUGAGUUCUGAAAUUAGUUUUUGGAAGCUUGCCUGAUCGA